rnacentral:tRNA from 1 species
GGCAACGUGACGGAGUGGUUAACGUGAUUGACUAGAAUUCUCUAGCUUAUCAAUUUCCUUCGGGAGCGUCUGUUCGAAUCAGGCCGUUGUCG